rnacentral:rRNA from 1 species
GAUGAACGCUGGCGGCGUGCCUAAUACAUGCAAGUCGAGCGAACGGACGAGAAGCUUGCUUCUCUGAUGUUAGCGGCGGACGGGUGAGUAACACGUGGAUAACCUACCUAUAAGACUGGGAUAACUUCGGGAAACCGGAGCUAAUACCGGAUAAUAUUUUGAACCGCAUGGUUCAAAAGUGAAAGACGGUCUUGCUGUCACUUAUAGAUGGAUCCGCGCUGCAUUAGCUAGUUGGUAAGGUAACGGCUUACCAAGGCAACGAUGCAUAGCCGACCUGAGAGGGUGAUCGGCCACACUGGAACUGAGACACGGUCCAGACUCCUACGGGAGGCAGCAGUAGGGAAUCUUCCGCAAUGGGCGAAAGCCUGACGGAGCAACGCCGCGUGAGUGAUGAAGGUCUUCGGAUCGUAAAACUCUGUUAUUAGGGAAGAACAUAUGUGUAAGUACCUGUGCACAUCUUGACGGUACCUAAUCAGAAAGCCACAGCUAACUACGUG